GGGGGAAUAUUGCGCAAUGGGCGAAAGCCUUACGCAGCGACGCCGCGUGAGGGGUUAAGGUUCUCGGAUCGUAAACCUCUGUCAGAAGGGAAGAAACCGCACUGUGCUAAUCAGCAGUGCCUUGACGGUACCUUCAAAGGCAGCACCGGCUAACUCCGUGCCAGCAGCCGCGGUAAUACGGAGGGUGCAAGCGUUAAUCGGAAUUACUGGGCGUAACGCGCACGUAGGCUGCUUUGUAAGUCAGGGGUGAAAUCCCACGGCUCACCCGUGUAUCUGCCUUUGAUCCUGCUUACCUUGAAUCCGGGGGAGGGUGGCGGACUUCCAGUGGUAGGAGUGAAUUCCGUAGAUAUCUGGAGGACCCUCAGUGCCGAAGCCGCCCACCUGUCCCGUUCUUGCCCCUGGGGUGCGAACGCUUGGGGAGCAAACAGG
rnacentral:rRNA from 1 species